UACAGAGGGUGCAAGCGUUAAUCGGAAUUACUGGGCGUAAAGCGUGCGUAGGCGGCCUUCUAAGUCGAACGUGAAAUCCCCGGGCUCAACCCGGGAACUGCGUCCGAGACUGGAAGGCUCGAAUCCGGGAGAGGGAUGUGGAAUUCCAGGUGUAGCGGUGAAAUGCGUAGAUAUCUGGAGGAACAUCGGUGGCGAAGGCGGCAUCCUGGACCGGUAUUGACGCUGAGGCGCGAAAGCCAGGGGAGCAAACGGG
rnacentral:rRNA from 1 species